AUACUGUCCGAUUAGGCACUCAUUCAGCACUACCUUGGGUAUAUUUGCAUAUGGAUACUGAGAUGGAGAUCCAAUAUGAAGAACACGGCACAAACAUACCGCGGGACAAGGAACACGAUCUGGUAA